rnacentral:rRNA from 1 species
UACGUAGGCAGCGAGCGUUGUUCGGAGUUACUGGGCGUAAAGGGCGUGUAGGUGGUUUUGUAAGUCUGGCGUGAAAUAUCUCGGCUUAACCGAGGCAGGUCGUCGGAUACUGCAAGACUAGAGGACGGUAGAGGCGUGUGGAAUUCCGGGUGUAGUGGUGAAAUGCGUAGAGAUCCGGAGGAACACCAGUGGCGAAGGCGACACGCUGGGCCGUACCUGACACUGAUGCGCGACAGCAUGGGGAGCAAACAGG